rnacentral:rRNA from 1 species
AUGUGAUCGUCUCUCGCAUAUCAAUAAGCGGAGGAAAAGAAACUAACUAGGAUUCCCUAGUAACGGCGAGUGAAGCGGGAAGAGCCCAAAUUUGAAAUCUUAAAGGGUUUCCCUUUACGAAUUGUAGUUUAAAGAAGUGUUUUCUGUUGAGGUUUUGGUAAAAGUUCUUUGGAAUAGGACAUCAUAGAGGGUGAGAAUCCCGUAUUUGACCUUUACUUUCAACUUUGUGAUACACUUUCAAAGAGUCGGAUUGUUUGGGAAUGCAGUCCAAAAUGGGUGGUAAAUUUCAUCUAAAGCUAAAUAUUGGCGAGAGACCGAUAGCGAACAAGUACCGUGAGGGAAAGAUGAAAAGAACUUUGAAAAGAGAGUUAAACAGUACGUGAAAUUGUCAAAAGGGAAGCGUUUGACACCAGUGUUGUUUUUCUGAAAAUCAAUUAAAGAACUGUUUAUGCUAAGUUGUUUAGACUUUAUCAGCUAACUGUUUAGUUUUGAGCUUUUCUUUAAUGCACUUUUCAGUUAACAAGUCAACAUCAAUUUCUUUUGCUGUAAAAAAGCUUGAGGAAGGUGGCUUGAGAUUCGUCUUAAGUGUUUAUAGCCUCUUGCCUAUGCAGUCGGAGAGAUUGAGGUCUGCAGCGUAGAUCCUUCGGGGCUAAAUGCAUUUGUGCUAAGUUAUAACAUUUUAUAGACAACUUGUUGACUAUGAUUUGUCUUGUAGCUUACUCGCUUAUGUUAUUUUACCUACGCUUAGGAUGUUGAGUAGCGACAUACGCAC